UACGGGGGGGGCAAGCGUUGUUCGGAAUUACUGGGCGUAAAGGGCUCGUAGGCGGCCAACUAAGUCAUACGUGAAAUCCCUCGGCUUAACCGGGGAACUGCGUCUGAUACUGGAUGGCUUGAGUUCGGGAGAGGGAUGCGGAAUUCCAGGUGUAGCGGUGAAAUGCGUAGAUAUCUGGAGGAACACCGGUGGCGGAAGGCGGCGUUCUGGACGUGUCUCUGACACUGAAGAACGAAAGCCAGGGGAGCAAACGGG
rnacentral:rRNA from 1 species